rnacentral:rRNA from 1 species
UACGAAGGGGGCUAGCGUUGUUCGGAAUUACUGGGCGUAAAGCGCGCGCAGGCGGUCCUUCAAGUCAGAGGUGAAAGCCCAGAGCUCAACUCUGGAAUGGCCUUUGAGACUAGAGGACUUGGGUACGGGAGAGGUGAGUGGAAUUCCGAGUGUAGAGGUGAAAUUCGUAGAUAUUCGCAAGAACACCAGUGGCGAAGGCGGCUCACUGGCCCAUAACUGACGCUGAGGCACGAAAGCGUGGGGAGCAAACAGG